CAGCAGCCGCGGGAACACGGAGGGAGCUAGCGUUGUUCGGAAUUACUGGGCGUAAAGCGCGCGUAGGCGGUUACUCAAGUCAGAGGUGAAAGCCCGGGGCUCAACCCCGGAACUGCCUUUGAAACUAGGUGACUAGAAUCUUGGAGAGGUCAGUGGAAUUCCGAGUGUAGAGGUGAAAUUCGUAGAUAUUCGGAAGAACACCAGUGGCGAAGGCGACCGACUGGACAAGUAUUGACGCUGAGGUGCGAAAGCGUGGGGAGCAAACAGGAUUAGAUACCCCCGUAGUCCCUGUCUCUUAUAC
rnacentral:rRNA from 1 species